rnacentral:rRNA from 1 species
GACGAACGCUGGCGGCGUGCUUAACACAUGCAAGUCGAACGGUAAGGCCCUUCGGGGUACACGAGUGGCGAACGGGUGAGUAACACGUGGGUGAUCUGCCCUGCACUUCGGGAUAAGCCUGGGAAACUGGGUCUAAUACCGGAUAGGACCACUGCCUGCAUGGGUGGUGGUGGAAAGCUUUUGUGGUGUGGGAUGGGCCCGCGGCCUAUCAGCUUGUUGGUGGGGUGAUGGCCUACCAAGGCGACGACGGGUAGCCGGCCUGAGAGGGUGACCGGCCACACUGGGACUGAGAUACGGCCCAGACUCCUACGGGAGGCAGCAGUGGGGAAUAUUGCACAAUGGGCGCAAGCCUGAUGCAGCGACGCCGCGUGAGGGACGACGGCCUUCGGGUUGUAAACCUCUUUCAGCACCGACGAAGCGCAAGUGACGGUAGGUGCAGAAGAAGGACCGGCCAACUACGUGCCAGCAGCCGCAGUAA